rnacentral:lncRNA from 1 species
CGUUUUGCAGGCGUUUGCACCCUCUCCCAGCGGAGCAGAGUUAUUUUUCCUCUCCCCUCCCCGUCUGAUCCUCUGUCGCCCACCCCCGGUGUUGUGUCUCUCUCUCCCCCCCCCCCCCCCCCUUUAACAAAAAGAAAAAGGGGGGGGGGGAAAAAAAAAAAAAAAAAAAAAAAAAGGGCACCAAAUUGCAAAAUUGCUGGAUUGCAAGUUUCUGUCACUUGGUGGCAGUAUACAAAACAAGUAAACAAAAACGUGCAGAAAUUUAAACACUCCCGGGGGGGGGGGGAAAGGGGGACAAAGUGGGGGCAAUACCUGUGGGACAAUAGCCCCGUGCCCCCUCAUCCCCAGCUCCGGGGCGAGGACUUUGGUUGGAGGACGAAUCUGGGGGGGUUAUGUGUUUUUUUGUGUGCUUUUUUUUUUUUUUUUUCUCUCUCCUUUUUUUUUUUUUUUUUUUUUUCCGCAUUGCUCUCUCCCCCUCCUUUUUUUUUUUUUUUUUUUUUUUUUUUUUUUUCUGGGUUUCCUCCCCGCCCCCCAUUGAAGUCUUGGGUCUUUAGUCUGGGGACAAAGCCUUUUACAGCAAGGUGUGUCCCCAUGCGACAAAGGCAGCGGGAGCAGCGUGUCCUCUGCAGACUGCGUCCAGACACCCGCAAUUUCGGGGACUUCUGCCUUUUAUUGUGUUUGUGUCUGGGGAGGAGGGGGAGGGAGACGGGGGAGGCUUCUCGCCUCCUUUCCCCUGCUCCCACCCCCCCGAUUUCCCCUUGCACCCCCGGCUGGAGGUCACCGCGCUGCUGUAAAACACUUUGGGGCGCCCUGCCCCGAUUUCCUCGCUUUUCCGCCCAAAGCCGAGCCCACACUUUCUCUCCCGGCGAACCCAAAUCUGAAGGGAAAGGCCUUUUUCUGUUAGCCCUGACCUCAAGCACUAACACUGAAAAUCACAACUGUUGUUGGUUGUUUUUUUUUUUUUUCCUUUUUCUCCAUUUUUUUUUCCCUGAGAGCGCGAGCUGCAGGGAUUACAGCCCCGCCAACACCAGUAACAAGAUCUCCAAAUCUCUCCGCCAAAAAUAA